ensembl:lncRNA
CUGCCCCUUUAUUUCAAGCAACGACGUUAUAGCCACGCUACGAUUGGGAAAUCCAUAAACGCCACAAUAGCUUCAAAUGAGUGAAAUCCGAUUUGUGAACAAAAACGAAAGCUCACCAUCGGGUCUUUACGCGAAGACUUAUAUUCACCGUGUUCUCUAAAGAGGUGUCACCAAGUGCUUUUACAGAUACCCAGACUGAAACCCCGAAUGUGCGGUACAUGUGCGUGCGUCUUCUGUAAAAAAAAAAUCAAUAGUGCAACACACUUAAUGAGGAUGUGACUUGACACCACGUAUUGCAUCACGCAGGUGUCUGUCUAAUGGAAAACUUCUGACAACAUAUUAUCCUCAUUAUGAUGGGGGC